GUAGCUGAUGGGGUUCCGAUGGUUCUGGCUCUGGGUCCCUGACCCGACAGAAGGUUCCAAUAGUUCCCUUUGGCUUCGGUGGGAAUUCUUUGACGGGGGGUGGGGGGAAUAGGAUGCCAGUGAAAUGGUAAGAAAUCUGACCCUGCCUGCAGUAACAAAUGCAGCUCUGUCAGCAACCUGUUUACAAAACUGUCACCAGACCCACUUAAAAACAGUGUGUGUGUCCUGGGUCUGUUUUGUAAGUGCAGUUUGGAUCUUAAGCAUGUUUUACAAAUUAGAGCUAUGCUUAUAACUGGAUUUGGGAAUAGCCAUGUGGUACACACAUUUCAUUUUUCGGUCUGGGGGAGGGAGAAUGAAUAAUUUCCAAUAAUGAAUGUGUUUAAAAGAAGUCCGGGUGUGCAUACAAACAUUUCAUGAACACAAAAAGGCAGUUUGAAAGGAUGUAUUUGCUCAGCUUUAGCGGGUCAUGACUUCGAGCACUGAAAGGCAGAACAACGCCAGCACCAUAGCCUGAGCACAGUGUGUGAAAGCAGCAUUAACAGGAAAGGGAAAUAAUUAAUUAUUAGGGAAGGAAAAUGGCUAACAGUAUAAUCAUAAUUUUAAAAUUAUCACUAGGUACUUCAAAGAUGAGAAUACAGUUACCGUGUAUGAAAAAGAUGAUUUAAGUUACUUGCCUAAGAAUCUUUGCAGCAGCAGGAGAAGAGCCUGUUCUUCCAAGGAAGCAUUUAACUGCCUUUGCUAUUAGGUCUUUUCCUGUUCCAGCAGUGCCCUGCAUAUUUUAUUCACUGCAUACCUUCCAGCUUAUGCAACAAAUGAGGAUUAACUUCAUUAUCUGUCUGAGUUAAGUCAAAUUGGAAGAAUCUCUUUCAAAGUGAUCUUGGAGCCUGACAGAUCAGGAUCUGUGAAAGACCAUGCAGGGUAAAGCACUUGGGUUGUUUAGCACCCUGCAGCAGAUCUUCCACUGCAUUGGUUGACUGCCCAAGCAGUGAGCACAGGAGACAUGAAGCACUUUGUACAGUCAAGGAUGCUUUGGAAAUCUUCACCGUGCGUGCAGUUACAAUCUAGAGAGGUUAGCCAAUGUGCUGGAUGACAACUGAAGAGAUGAAAUUGCAGCAAAGCCACUUGAACACUUAUCAAAGAAAUGGACCUGCUAAUUAAGAGGAUAAUAUUUCCUGGCACCAAGACAAAACAUACAAAGCUGAAUCUCAAGGCCUUCCUCAAGCAAACUUCUGUGGGAAUGUGGCUGUGUGAGGGCUUCAAGAACAAGCCUUUAAGUAAAACCCACUCUAAAUGAAAGCGUUAGAUCAGCAUGCUGGUUAGAAGAAAAUGUACUUCCCUCAAAUUAAGGCAUGAGUAUACCUGUUUCUUUUGUCAAAUCUCACAUUGCUUUGCAUUCCCAUUGCACUUUUUAUUGAGGCUGUUCUGUGUAUUGAUUACAGUAAUUAAUCUUUGUAUCAAUUCUGUGAGGGAAGACAUAUUUCUCCCACGUCCGUUAUGCAUUUUAACUAUUACACUAUCUACUUUACAGAUAGUAAAACUGAGGCACAAAGGUCAGAGACAGCAAAUCAAUGCCAGAGUAUAGCAGAGUCCCAUUCCUGGCUCUAUCCACAAUACACUCGUUUUUUCCUAAGUAUGCAGUAAUCUCAAACAUGCUUCUUAAAUGAGCAAAUCUUCCCAUAUGAAUGAGGGUAAUAUAUCUGUUUUAGUGAGUAUUCUGUAUUUCUAACAUCUAUGACUCCACAAACAGAAUUUAGAUCACAAUAAAGGUAAUACUAUGGCAUGCUUUUUAUAUUCACUAUAAUUGUGAGACAGUUCAGUCUGAGUACAAAAGGCAGCCUUUGGACAGCUGGAAGAAGUUUUAAAUGUUAAUAGUUGGGUAAGAGUUGGUUCUACAAUGGUAUUAUGGUCUAGUUCACAGUAACUGUUUUUUGAUACUUUGCUGGCCUCUAGAGGGAUAACUUACUUAUACACAGGCUGAAGCAGGGAUUUUAAGCAUUACUGCCUGCUCUUCAAUCUUUCUUGCCAGGUAAUUCUUUUCUGUUUUGCAAGGCUUUUAAGUAGUGAGGCUUUGUAGCUCUUUGGAAACACUUUUUUCACUUCCAUGAUUUUCUUUCUGUCUGGGCAAUAGGUAUAAGGUAUGUUUCUUCUGCUUGAAGAAAUAAGGGUAGAAGAUCCUGGCAAUAAACACCUCUCAGCCACCGAAGUGAGAAGCUCUGAGGAAAAUGUGCCAGAAGGGUGCGAGAGAAAGAAAUGCAGAAAAGAGAAUAUAACUUUUAUUUGUAAUUUAAAAGCUCCUGAAUGCUCAGAGUUCUUCUCAUAAGUCCUGUCCUGGUCAGCAAGAAGCAUAACUGUAUUGUGUAAACAAACAAACAAACAAACAAAUGAACGAUGACUUUGAAAUCCCCAGAAAGCAGCAUAUUUUCCUUGUCUUUUUCUGCUUUGUGCUUCUCUUCUUGCAUUUGCUGUGUUCUCUGCUUCGUUCCCAUACUCCACCUUUUUAUUUCUUUCAGGAUACAUGUAUUAAAUCUGAGAAAAACA